rnacentral:rRNA from 1 species
UAACGAAUCUUCCGCAAUGCACGAAAGUGUGACGGAGCGACGCCGCAUGUGGGAAGAAGGCCUUCGGGUUGUAAACCGCUUUCAGGAGGGACGAAGCUACUCGGGUUAAUAGCCCAGAGGGUGACGGUACCUCCAGAAGAAGCCCCGGCUAACUACGUGCCAGCAGCCGCGGUAAUACGUAGGGGGCAAGCGUUGUCCGGAUUUAUUGGGCGUAAAGAGCGUGUAGGCGGCCAGGUAGGUCUGCUGUGAAAACUCGAGGCUCAACCUCGAGAUGUCGGCGGAAACCCUCUGGCUAGAGUCCGGAAGAGGAGAGUGGAAUUCCCGGUGUAGCGGUGAAAUGCGCAGAUAUCGGGAAGAACACCCGUGGCGAAGGCGGCUCUCUGGGACGGUACUGACGCUGAGACGCGAAAGCGUGGGGAGCGAACAG